rnacentral:rRNA from 1 species
GAUGAACGCUGGCGGCGUGCCUAAUACAUGCAAGUCGAGCGAACGGACGAGAAGCUUGCUUCUCUGAUGUUAGCGGCGGACGGGUGAGUAACACGUGGAUAACCUACCUAUAAGACUGGGAUAACUUCGGGAAACCGUAGCAAAUACCGGAUAAUAUUUUGAACCGCAUGGUUCAAAAGUGAAAGACGGUCUUGCUGUCACUUAUAGAUGGAUCCGCGCUGCAUUAGCUAGUUGGUAAGGUAACGGCUUACCAAGGCAACGAUGCAUAGCCGACCUGAGAGGGUGAUCGGCCACACUGGAACUGAGACACGGUCCAGACUCCUACGGGAGGCAGCAGUAGGGAAUCUUCCGCAAUAGGCGAAAGCCUGACAGAGCAACGGCGCGUGAGUGAUGAAGGUCUUCGGAUCGUAAAACUCUGUUAUUAGGGAAGAACAUAUGUGUAAGUAACUGUGCACAUCUUGACGGUACCUAAUCAGAAAGCCACGGCUAACUACGUG